rnacentral:lncRNA from 1 species
AUUAUGAGUAUCAUCAUGUCUUCAAAAUUACCAUCUUCUUUUCUUUCUGUUUCAGUAAUAGUUGCUCUCUUGCUGGCAACUACUGAACUAGUGACCUCUCAGAAAACAACUUCCUUCGACUUUCAAAAUUUCACUUCUGGUCAAUCUGAUUUAAUCAUGCAAGGUAGUACCGCGAUUUUACCAAAUGGGGUAAUGGCCCUAACCAACCUUUCUAAACAAAGUACUGGACGGGUGUUGUAUUCAAAUCCAGUGACUAUUUGGGAUAGUACUACUGGACAUGUCGCUAGCUUCGUUACUUCCUUUACCUUCACGGUUGAGGAUUAUCAAGGUUAUAAACAAGCCGAUGGACUCAUCUUCUUUCUUGCACCACAAGACACCGUAAUUCCUCACAACUCUGUGGGUUCAAAACUCGGAGUAGUUGAUGGGAAAAAUGCUUUCAAUCAAUUUGUUGGUGUCGAGUUUGAUAGUCAUGCCAAUAAGUUAGUGUUUGAUCCCAAUUAUGCACAUAUUGGAAUUGAUGUUAACUCAGUAAUAUCAUCCAGUACAACACCAUGGAACAGGGUGAGUGGGUCAUUGGUGAAAGUAAGUAUAAUCUAUGACUCUCCCUCUAACACAUUGAGUGUUGUUGCCACUAACAGCAAUGGUCAAAUUUCUACUCUUGCUGAUGUUGUUGAUUUGAAAGCUGUUCUCCCACCGAACGUUAGGGUUGGUUUUUCUGGAACAGUUACAGCUGUCGGCCGCCAAUUGCAACAGAUUCAUUCAUGGUCUUUCACUUCAACCUUGGCAUGAUUGGUCUCCUACGUACGUUAUGUAUGCAUGCAUGCAUGGAGAUUGUGAUAUAUAAUAACUAGUAUGGCUAAACAAAAGUCCAUAUUAGAUUGUGAUAAUAACUAGUAUGCCUAAACAAUAGACCAUACUAGAUUGUGAUAGUAACUUGUAUGGCUAAACUCCCUCAAGAAAAGAAAAAGAAAAAAAAACUAGUAUGGCUAAACUAGAUUGUGAUAAUAACUGGUAUGGCUAAACCAAAGACCAUACUUGAACCAUGUAUAUGUUUCAAUUUAUCUAUAAAUAAAUCCAUGCUUAAACUAAUGUUACCUAAAUAGCUAAGUCAUGAAUCUCUAUCAUGCCUCAAUAACUAAUACCCUUUCCGUCCUAAAAUAGAUGACCUAUUUGAAAAUGUGGACUAUUGACCUAACAUACUUUGACCGUAUUUUUUUAUUAAUAUACAAAGAUAAAUAAUAUGAUAUAUAAGAUGCACUACUAGAAAAAACAAAAUUAGUGAGGGAAAUCAAUGACGGAAAAAAUGAAAUUUCUCACAAAUUCCUUGGUCGCAAAAUUUAGUGACAGAAUUAGAGAGGGAUUUUACAUUUUCCCUCACUAAUUUUUUGUUUUUUUAGUAGUGAUGUCUAUGGAUUCGUCUCGAUGAAUAUUUUCAAAAUAUCAAAUUUUUAUAAUUUUUUUCUAAUAGAUUAGUAAAGUUAUUUAAGAUCAAAAUUGUGCAUUUGUAUGUAUGACAAGGUCAACUGUGUCAUUUAAUAUGAGACAGAGGGAGUAGUUACGUACCACUCCAAUCUCAAAUAUAAUUAAAGAAAAAUAUUAACUUGUGUCCUUAGAGCACAUGUUAAGAAUUCCACUAAUAUAAAUUAUAUAUUGGAAAUUGUGUUAAUUUAUUGUUCAAAAUGUUUAAUAUUAAAUAUUUUUAUUAAAUUUUUACCAUUAAUAUAAUGAAAUUAAUGUUUAACAUGUGUCAUAACUGCACGAGUUAACAUGACCCAGAAUUAAAAUAUGAAAAAUAUUAACGAGUGCUCCCAUGACACUCUUUAAAGCUUUUAAAUGGUAAUUUUUUUAUGAAAAUAUGUGUCAUCAAUGAAUUGAAAAUUGAAAUAUUUGACUUUUUUACAAAAAUAACUUCUUCUUUCGGAAUCCCCUGCCCCGUUAACCCCGCCGUCCCACCGUCGGUUGUUUCCCCAGCCUCACCACCAACCUACACCUCAACUUGCCCAAUUCUCACGCCUUUUUCUCCCUCCCCCUCGUCUGCCCAUUCCCGUCGCGACCACACCCUCACCAUUCCUCACACUUUUAACUCCCUCCCCUAGGACCCUCUCCGCCUCCUUCUUCCCUCGCACACCAUCAUCCUUACGCUUAACAGGCUUUAGAAACAACCAGAUGUUUUUUAAUCAAUAAUAGCAAAUCUAUCGUACCGUGUUUCUCUAGUCCAAACCUUAAGAUGACCGAACCAAACAUUGUUUAAAGCUUGAGAUAACUUACUUGCAUUCUUAACAUUGGAGAAACGAACGAAACCAUAUAUUUGUCCUCAUGCGUUCCUUUGUCUUGCGAUGAAAAUGUCUGUCAGAAUACCAAAAACUUCAAGCUGUUGUCUCAGAAGAAAAAUAGGAAGACAUUUCGGAAUGUUGGUGAAAUAAUAUGAAACCUUACCUCCCAUUCUUGAAGUAUCGAGGCCACGCUGAUCAGAAUCCACGAAAUCGGAAACCUUACCCUCUCUAUCAGUAUGCACACCAGAUGGAGUGUUGCGCAUUCUUGUGCUACAUGUAGGUUGAGUCGCGUCCGCUGUAACCUUAGAAGACCGAAGAAGAAUCGAAUUACCAUCCCUAGAUACAAAAAACUAAGGGAAAAUACGUUUAUGAAAAUACUUACAUACUUUAAAUACUUACAUACUAGCAUUAAAUUGUAUCAUAUACUUUUUUGUGGGGAGUGUAUUAUAUACUUAUAUAUUAUAUAUUAGUAAUAUGUCAUUUUUUAGAGGCCAUUUAUGCGUUUAUGAAAAUUUAGAAAGGGAUUUCUCAGAAAAAGAAAAUUUAGAAAGGGUAAAAUUUAGCAAAAUCAACUAUGUAAAAUAUAAUUUAGAAAAUUAGGAAUUUUAGAGAUUGAGUCAUCCGAUUCAAUCCAAUUUAAUAUCUACAUGAAUUCAAAAUAGAAACUGAGCUAUUUAACUGAGUUAUCCGAUCUAAUUCAGUUUUAUCAUGCGGUUUAAUCAAUGAUCAAGUGGUUCGACCAAUGACUCAAUGAUCAAGUACCCUUGCCGAAUCAACCACUGAUGCGGUUUUUAAAACUAUGGUUGGGUAAAUGCUCCACGCACACCAUAGUUGAGCAUGUUACGUUGCUCGAGAUUGUUUCCCAACUGUUGGAUCGUGACCUAAUUUCUUUCAAUCUAGGAUGUUGGUUUGAACUUCCAUAGACUAUAAAAGGAGGAAAACUCUUUCUGCACAUGUCACUCCUUUUUCCACCACGAACCCAACUCUUUCUCUACCUGUAAGAUUAAAAGCUGAUUUUUAAUAAAACAUGUCGUUCCCUUUAAAAAAAAAUGUCAUUCCUUUUUUCAAUAAAAUAAAAUAUGUUCUCACGCGCCUUAAUUAGGUUCUUUUUUUCACCACUAACCCAACUCUUUCUCUACCCCUAAGCUACUAUAGGAUUAGAAUUGACUAACAACAAUUGAAACUUCCAAUCUUGGUGUAAGUUUGGUGUAUCUCAACAUUUAGAAACUUGAUUUGCAUAUAUAUGUUAUAUUAUUAUAUUAGAAACUUUUGAUCAGUUGGGCAUUACAAUUGCCAUUUUCAAUAAGAAAGGCCAGAAAGGAUUGUCAUGAGUAAGAUGACGAAGAAGAAAACUCUGUCAAUUGGGUAGCCAUACCACUAAUUAAGUUGGUGCUGGUGACGUUGCUAAUUAAUAAUUUAGGUUGCACCACUACUUCAGUAUAUUCUCCAAACGAAAAGGAAGAAAUAGUGAGCAAAUAAUGUGUAUAAAUAUAUGUCAUCAACAUGCAUGCUCAUUCACAUACUAUCAAAACUACAUAAUAUUAUGAGUAUCAUCAUGUCUUCAAAAUUACCAUCUUCUUUUCUUUCUGUUUCAAUAAUAGUUGCUCUCAUGCUGGCAACUACUGAACCAGUGACCUCUCAGAAAACAACUUCCUUCGACUUUCAAAACUUCACUUCUGGUCAAUCUGAUUUAAUCAUGCAAGGUAGUACCGCGAUUUUACCAAAUGGGGUAAUGGCACUCACCAACCCAACUAACCCUAAUACUGGACGGGUGUUGUAU